CUGAGAGGUGGUGCAUGGCCGUCGUCAGUUCGUACUGUGAAGCAUCCUGUUAAGUCAGGCAACGAGCGAGACCCACGUCCACAGUUGCCAGCAUACCCUCCGGGGUGAUGGGUACACUGUGGAGACCGCCGCUGCUAAAGCGGAGGAAGGAGUGGGCAACGGUAGGUCAGUAUGCCCCGAAUCUCCCGGGCUACACGCGGGCUACAAUGGUUGGUACAAUGGGCAUCUACCCCGAAAGGGGAAGGAGAUCUCUUAAAGCCAAUCGUAGUUCGGAUUGAGGGCUGCAACUCGCCCUCAUGAAGCUGGAAUCCGUAGUAAUCGCGUUUCAACAGAACGCGGUGAAUACGUCCCUGCUCCUU
rnacentral:rRNA from 1 species